UUCUAAAGUUCCUGCCCACUUCUUUGCAUGGUCAGCACAUGCUUCAGUGCUCUGAGAGUGUUUAUAGAGCUGUGAGUUUAACACUUCAUGACUGAGAGCAGAACAGAACACAAUCUUCAUCAUCACACAAGACACAACAACAACAAUGAACAACAUCAUCAUCCUCAUCUGGACCAUUGCAGCUUUUAUUCAAGAAUCCAGAGGAAUCACUGUGACUCAGCCUAAAGUUAAAACUGUCCAGCUCGGUCAAACAGCUACAAUAGAGUGUAAUCUGGAUGUAGGACUAACCUCUAAUGGUUUGGCUUGGUAUCAGCAGAAACCUGGAGAAACUCCUAAACUCCUCAUAUAUGGCAUACAAUACCUCCAGUCAGGAACUCCAUCUAGAUUCAGUGGCAGUGGAUCAAACUAUGGAAAAGAUUUCUCUCUGACCAUCAGUGGAGUCCAGACUGAAGAUACAGGAGAUUAUUACUGUCAGAGUUACCACUACAUCAGUAGCUAUGUGUUCACACAGCUCUUCAAAUCAGUGCACGGAAAGUAUGGACCAUGUGAUAGCACACUUGAGGAGAUACAAAUAGAGCAGCUCCAUCAGCAGAUGUUCAGCGUCCUCACAGGAGCUUCAUGA